AUGCUUCUCUCCAGCCUUCUGAAGGUGGUCGUGGCUUCACUGUGUUUAGGAUCCAUUAUUGCCGAGAAGAUAACUCAAGACCCACAACUAAUGUUAGUACAAGAGAAGGAGGCUGUGACCCUGGACUGCACAUAUGACACCAGUGAUUCAAGUUAUAGUCUAUUCUGGUACAAGCAGCCCAACAGUGGGGCAAUGAUUUUUCUCCUUAGUCAGGAUUCUUAUGGCAAGGAAAAUGCCGCAGAAGGUCGCUACUCAUUGAAUUUCCAGAAAGCAAGCAAAUCUAUCACACUUGUCAUCUCAGCUUCACAGCUGGAGGACUCUGCAGUGUAUUUCUGUGCACUGAGAGAGCCCACAGUGAGACGCACGGAGGAGGGACUUGUACCAAAGCCCAGGGCUCUGCUCCACCUGCUGUAG